rnacentral:rRNA from 1 species
GACGAACGCUGGCGGCGUGCUUAACACAUGCAAGUCGAGCGGUAAGGCCCUUUCGGGGGUACACGAGCGGCGAACGGGUGAGUAACACGUGGGUGACCUGCCCUCAGCUCUGGGAUAAGCCUGGGAAACCGGGGUCUAAUACCGGAUAUGACUCCAUGACGCAUGUUGUGGGGUGGAAAGCCUUGUGCGGCUGAGGAUGGGCCCGCGGCCUAUCAGCUUGUUGGUGGGGGAUGGCCUACCAAGGCGACGACGGGUAGCCGGCCUGAGAGGGCGACCGGCCACACUGGGACUGAGACACGGCCCAGACUCCUACGGGAGGCAGCAGUGGGGAAUCUUGCGCAAUGGGCGAAAGCCUGACGCAGCGACGCCGCGUGA